rnacentral:rRNA from 1 species
GCAUAUCAAUAAGCGGAGGAAAAGAAACCAACAGGGAUUGCCCUAGUAACGGCGAGUGAAGCGGCAACAGCUCGAAUUUGAAAUCUGGCUCCCUUGGGGGUCCGAGUUGUAAUCUACAGAGGAUGCUUCAGGCAAGGCACCCGCCGAGUUCCCUGGAACGGGACGCCACAGAGGGUGAGAGCCCCGUAUGGCGGGAGGCCGCGCCUGUGUGAAGCUCCUUCGACGAGUCGAGUAGCUUGGGAAUGCUGCUCUAAAUGGGAGGUAGACUUCUUCUAAAGCUAAAUAUUGGCCAGAGACCGAUAGCGCACAAGUAGAGUGAUCGAAAGAUGAAAAGCACUUUGAAAAGAGGGUCAAACAGUACGUGAAAUUGUUGAAAGGGAAGCGCCUAUGGCCAGACUUGCGGCAGGUCGAUCAUCUAGCGGUCUCCGCUAGUGCACUCGGCCUACCGCAGGCCAGCGUCGGCUGUUGCGGGGGGACAAAAGCACUGGGAACGUGGCUCCCUCCGGGGAGUGUUAUAGCCCAGUGCAGAAUGCCCCCGCGGCGGCCGAGGACCGCGCCCUUGUGGCAAGGACGCUGGCGUAAUGGCCAUCAGCGACCCGUCUUGAAACACGGACC